rnacentral:lncRNA from 1 species
GUGGGAUGAAGAAUGUAGGUGCGUUUUUGGGUACCAAAGAGAAAUGGAAACAAAGAGGCAAACAAAUCCAAAUGGGCAUCUAAUCAUAUUCCAGCAUUUCCAAUUUCAUCUCUACCCACUCGCGUUUUGGACCGACAAUUUUAUUUAAUGACUUCCAUGUUGAAAUUAACACAUAUUCAACCGAUAUGAAUUUCUUAAACUAGAAAUAUUUUGUUCUCUUCUUAUGGUUCUUUGUUUUUUUUUCUCUUUACAUUCGUGUCUUUAUUUUAUACUACUCUUUUUGUUUCAUAUUAAGCGUCGUUUUAGCUUUUAAAUUUUGUUUUAUUAUAAAUGUCAUUUUAUAUUUUCAAGGCAAAUAUUAAAUGUUUUUUCCAGUUUUUACCUUUAUUCUUAACUCACUAAAACAUAAAAUAAAAUAAAAUAAUGUAUUAAAUAAGGGUAAAACAGAAAAUUUAAUCAAUUUUUAAUUUGUAUGCAAAAGCUUUAAACAA